rnacentral:rRNA from 1 species
UACGUAGGGUGCAAGCGUUGUUCGGAAUCACUGGGUGUAAAGGGAGCGUAGGCGGAUUUAUAAGUUGGAAGUCUAAUACACAGGCUUAACCUGUGGACGGCUUUCAAGACUGUAUAUCUUGAGUAUGGGAGAGGGUGAUGGAAUUCCAGGUGUAGCGGUGGAAUGCGUAGAUAUCUGGAAGAACACCAGCUGCGAAGGCGGUCGCCUGGCCCAAUACUGACGCUGAGGCUCGAAAGCUAGGGGAG